rnacentral:lncRNA from 1 species
ACCAGCAUUCGAAGUCGAGGAUGGAGUCCGGCUCCCGUAGGAGUUCGAACGAAGCUUGCCUGCAGCCGAAGUUGGAGACAGAGUCCGGCUCCCGUAGGAGUCCAGAUGAAGCUUGUCUGCAAUCGAAGUAGGAGAUGGAGUCCAGCUCCCGUAGGAGCCCGGACGAAGCUUGUCUGCAGUCGAAGUAGGAGAUGGAGUCUGGCUCCCUAGGAGCCC